rnacentral:lncRNA from 10 species
GCCGCCUUCUCCUUGCUACUGGCCCCUGUGUUUCCAGGCUGGGCUUACAUUUGAGUGUUUUCUCUUCAAGAACCUGGACGUUUAGUCUAGGUUGUGUCUUCCGUGAGAAAGGCUGGCGUUGGGUAAGGCUGGAGAGACUGGAGCCAAGGACUCUGCAGGCCUUGAAGAUGCAAGCUGGUAUGAUGUGAACUGCCACAUGGCAGGGAACUGCAGGUACCCUCGAGGACGUGAGGACCUCAUUCUUACAUCUGCAAGAAACCAAAUUCUGCGGACAGCUAUGUGAACUUUAAAAGAAGACCUGGAACCUCCAGAAAGGAAUGCAGCCUGGCCAAUGUGCUGAUUGCAUCCUUGUGAGACUCUGAGCCAGAGGACCCAGCUAAACUCUGCCUGGACUCCUGACCCACGGAAACUGUAAGAUAAUAAACGUGUGUUGUUUUAAGCUGCC